UACGGAGGGUGCAAGCGUUAAUCGGAUUUACUGGGCGUAAAGCGUGCGUAGGUGGUUUGUUAAGUCAGUUGUGAAAUCCCAGGGCUCAACCUUGGAAUUGCAUCUGAUACUGGCAGACUAGAGAUCGGUAGAGGUUAGUGGAAUUCCAGGUGUAGCGGUGAAAUGCGUAGAUAUCUGGAGGAACAUCAGUGGCAGAAGGCGAACUCUGGCCAAUACUGACGCUGGAG
rnacentral:rRNA from 1 species